ACACCUCAACUCUCAUGGCUUGCCACGAUGAGCUUGGACUAUAUGGGGGUCUUGCUGGCCUGUGGGGUCGGCUCCUCUCAAAUGAAUCAGCUUGCCAGUGUUUGGUGGCGUCACAGGUGUGAUAACUAUCUACGCUUGUGGUUUUCCACCAGGUAACCUUCAGCAAUGGAGGUUCGCUGGGGCUCAUAAAUGUCUCUCCUCAGCGAGGACAGCUCUUUGAAC
rnacentral:misc_RNA from 1 species